UCAAUAAUGUUGGACAUCCGCAGGACGAGGCUAUGAAACGUUUGGCAUCCGCCUACAAAGGACGGGGAUGGUCUUGGGCGCCUGAAAUGCAGAUGAUCUCAUCAAAGCUCAACGUGACAUGUUUUGGACAUGGAAUGGACUGCUGAAUAGCAUAAUGGAGGAAGAUUCAAAAGGAAAUUGAACAAGCACUAAUUGCUACAUAAAGCCAAGCCGAAAAUAUCAGGAUCUCAAUCCAUCUGGAUUUUGUCUUGUACGAACAGCUAGUCUCAAUGUGAAGACUCCGAGAAGUCCCUCCUGCAGGUGUUCAGAUACUGAAAUCCCAAAUUUUCGGUACUUCUAUAAUUUCCUUCCCAAUUUUGACAUUUUAUGGGAGUUUUAUUGUCAAUGUCUCAACCUACUGUUUUUAUCGACGAAAGAUACAAUGUGAACUGUAUGUGCACGUGUACCUGGUUCAUAUUAAAAUGUUUAUUGGGUACACUUUAAAAAUAAUCUAUUGCCGUUACUUUUUUACCGUUAGAAAUGGCUGUCUAUAUUUCAUUAUGUAAACUCCCCCACCCCCACAGUA